GGGAGCUUGCUCCCUGAGAUCAGCGGCGGACGGGUGAGUAACACGUGGGUAACCUGCCUGUAAGACUGGGAUAACUCCGGGAAACCGGGGCUAAUACCGGAUAACUCAGUUCCUCGCAUGAGGAACUGUUGAAAGGUGGCUUUCAGCUACCACUUACAGAUGGACCCGCGGCGCAUUAGCUAGUUGGUGAGGUAACGGCUCACCAAGGCAACGAUGCGUAGCCGACCUGAGAGGGUGAUCGGCCACACUGGGACUGAGACACGGCCCAGACUCCUACGGGAGGCAGCAGUAGGGAAUCUUCCGCAAUGGACGAAAGUCUGACGGAGCAACGCCGCGUGAGUGAAGAAGGUUUUCGGAUCGUAAAACUCUGUUGUUAGGGAAGAACAAGUGCCGUUCGAAUAGGGCGGCACCUUGACGGUACCUAACCAGAAAGCCACGGCUAACUACGUGCCAGCAGCCGCGGUAAUACGUAGGUGGCAAGCGUUGUCCGGAUUUAUUGGGCGUAAAGCGCGCGCAGGUGGUUUCUUAAGUCUGAUGUGAAAGCCCACGGCUCAACCGUGGAGGGUCAUUGGAAACUGGGGAACUUGAGUGCAGAAGAGGAAAGUGGAAUUCCAAGUGUAGCGGUGAAAUGCGUAGAUAUUUGGAGGAACACCAGUGGCGAAGGCGACUUUCUGGUCUGUAACUGACACUGAGGCGCGAAAGCGUGGGGAG
rnacentral:rRNA from 2 species